GCACCAAUUUGUCAUCAGUCUCAUAAUCUGAAGGUCGUGAGUUCGAAUCUCACUUCGGGCA
rnacentral:tRNA from 1 species